GGAGGUGUGGCUCAAUGGUAGAGUAUAUGCUUGGCAUGCAAAAGGCUAUAGGUUCAACCACCAGCCCUCCA
rnacentral:tRNA from 1 species